rnacentral:rRNA from 1 species
UGGGGAAUAUUGGACAAUGGGCGCAAGCCUGAUCCAGCAAUGCCGCGUGAGUGAUGAAGGCCUUAGGGUUGUAAAGCUCUUUCGCACGCGACGAUGAUGACGGUAGCGUGAGAAGAAGCCCCGGCUAACUUCGUGCCAGCAGCCGCGGUAAUACGAAGGGGGCUAGCGUUGUUCGGAAUUACUGGGCGUAAAGGGCGCGUAGGCGGCCUGUUUAGUCAGAAGUGAAAGCCCCGGGCUCAACCUGGGAAUAGCUUUUGAUACUGGCAGGCUUGAGUUCCGGAGAGGAUGGUGGAAUUCCCAGUGUAGAGGUGAAAUUCGUAGAUAUUGGGAAGAACACCGGUGGCGAAGGCGGCCAUCUGGACGGACACUGACGCUGAGGCGCGAAAGCGUGGGGAGCAAACAGGACUAGAUACCCUGGUAGUCCACGCCGUAAACGAUGAAUGCUAGACGUCGGGGUGCAUGCACUUCGGUGUCGCCGCUAACGCAUUAAGCAUUCCGCCUGGGGAGUACGGCCGCAAGGUUAAAACUCAAAGGAAUUG